rnacentral:rRNA from 1 species
GAUCCUGGCUCAGGAUGAACGCUAGCUACAGGCUUAACACGUGCAAGUCGAGGGGCAGCGGGAUUGAAGCUUGCUUCAAUUGCCGGCGACCGGCGCACGGGUGAGUAACGUGUAUCCAACCUUCCGUACACUCAGGGAUAGCCUUUCGAAAGAAAGAUUAAUACCUGAUGGUAUCUUAAGCACACAUGUAAUUAAGAUUAAGGAUUUAUCGGUGUACGAUGGGGAUGCGUUCCAUUAGGUAGUAGGG